rnacentral:tRNA from 1 species
GUUUGGGUAGCUUAAGAUAGAGCGGAACUUUGAAGGGGUUUUGGUAAGUUAUAAUAUUUCUUAAACA